rnacentral:rRNA from 1 species
GGAGCUUGUUCCCUGAUUCAGCGGCGGACGGGUGAGUAAUGCCUAGGAAUCUGCCUGGUAGUGGGGGACAACGUUUCGAAAGGAACGCUAAUACCGCAUACGUCCCACGGGAGAAAGCAGGGGACCUUCGGGCCUUGCGCUAUCAGAUGAGCCUAGGUCGGAUUAGCUAGUUGGCGGGGUAAUGGCCCACCAAGGCGACGAUCAGUAGCCGGCCUGAGAGGGUGAUCGGCCACACUGGAACUGAGA